rnacentral:rRNA from 1 species
GAUGAACGCUGGCGGCGUGCCUAAUACAUGCAAGUCGAGCGAACGGACGAGACGCUUGCUUCUCUGAUGUUAGCGGCGGACGGGUGAGUAACACGUGGAUAACCUACCUAUAAGACUGGGAUAACUUCGGGAAAGCGUAGCUAACACCGGAUAAUAUUUUGAAACGCAUGGUUCAAAAGUGAAGGACGGUCUUGCUGUCACUUAUAGAUGGAUCCGCGCUGCAUUAGCUAGUUGGUAAGGUAACGGCUUACCAAGGCAACGAUGCAUAGCCGACCUGAGAGGGUGAUCGGCCACACUGGAACUGAGACACGGUCCAGACUCCUACGGGAGGCAGCAGUAGGGAAUCUUCCGCAAUGGGCGAAAGCCUGACGGAGCAACGCCGCGUGAGUGAUGAAGGUCUUCGGAUCGUAAAACUCUGUUAGUAGGGAAGAACAGAUGUGUAAGUAACUGUGCACAUCUUGACGGUACCUAAUCAGAAAGCCACGGCUAACUACGUG